GACGAACGCUGGCGGCGUGCUUAACACAUGCAAGUCGAACGGAAAGGCCCUGCUUUUGUGGGGUGCUCGAGUGGCGAACGGGUGAGUAACACGUGAGUAACAUGUCCUUGACUGUGGGAUAUCUUCAGGAAAAUGGGGCUAUUACCGGGAAGGAGCUCCCGCUGCAUGGUGGGGGUUGGAAAGUUUCGGCGGUUGGGGAUGGACUCGCGGCUUAUCAGCUUGUUGGUGGGGUAGUGGCAUACCAAGGCUUUGACGGGUAGCCGGCCUGAGAGGGUGGCCGGCCCCAUUGGGACUGGGAUACGGCCCGGACUCCUACGGGAGGCAACAGUGGGGGAUAUUGCCCAACGGGCGGAAGGCUGGUGCAGCAACGCCGCGUUCGGGGUGGCAGCCUUCGGGUUGGAAACCGCUUUCGCCUGUGCCGGAGCGUGAGUGACGGUAAUGGGUAAAGAAGCCCCGGCUAACUACGUG
rnacentral:rRNA from 1 species